rnacentral:rRNA from 1 species
UACGUAGGUGGCAAGCGUUGUCCGGAUUUACUGGGCGUAAAGGGCGUGCAGGCGGUUUGUUAAGUUCGGGGUGAAAGCUCCCGGCUCAACUGGGAGAGGUCCUUGGAUACUGGCAGACUUGAGGGAGGUAGAGGAGAGUGGAAUUCCCGGUGUAGUGGUGAUAUGCGUAGAUAUCGGGAGGAACACCAGUGGCGAAGGCGGCUCUCUGGGCCUUUCCUGACGCUGAGACGCGAAAGCGUGGGGAGCGAACCGG